UACGUAGGGGGCGAGCGUUGUCCGGAAUCAUUGGGCGUAAAGCGCGUGUAGGCGGCCCGGUAAGUCCGCUGUGAAAGUCCAGGGCUCAACCCCGGAACGGCAUCCGAGACGGCCAGGCUGGAGACCGGGAGAGGAGAGUGGAAUAGCCAGUGUAGAGGUGAAAUUCGUAGAUAUUGGCUGGAACACCGGUGGCGAAAGCGGCUCUCUGGCCCGGUUCUGACGCUGAGGCGCGAAAGCGUGGGGAGCAAACAGG
rnacentral:rRNA from 1 species